UUGGGUCCGAGUUGGUAAUUUGUAGAGGAUGCUUCGGGCAAGGCUGUGGUCUAAUUCGCUUGGAACAGCGGGUCAAAGAGGGUGAGAAUCCCGUCUAGGAUCGUAUGCCGCGUCCAUGUGAAGCUCCUUCGACGAGUCGAGUUGUUUGGGAAUGCAGCUCUAAAUGGGUGGUAAAUUUCAUCUAAAGCUAAAUAUUGGCCAGAGACCGAUAGCGCACAAGUAGAGUGAUCGAAAGAUGAAAAGCACUUUGAAAAGAGAGUUAAACAGUAUGUGAAAUUGUUGAAAGGGAAGCGCUUGCAAUCAGACUUGUGGCUGACGGUUCCCCUGGCCCUCGUGGCCGGGCUACUCCGUCGUGUCCAGGCCAACAUCGGUCUGGGUGGCCGGUCAAAGACCCCGGGAAUGUAUCUACCUUCGGGUCGACUUAUAGCCCGGGGUGGAAUGCGGCCCACCCGGACCGAGGAACGCGCUUCGGCUCGGAUGUUGGCGUAAUGGUUGCAAGCGGCCCGUCUUGAAACACGGACCAAGGAGUCUAACAUCUAUGCGAGUGUUUGGGUGUCAAACCCCUACGCGGAAUGAAAGUGANCGGAGGUAAGAACCCCGCANGGGGCGCAUUAUCGACCGAUCCUGAUGUCUUCGGAUGGAUUNGAGUA
rnacentral:rRNA from 1 species